GACGAACGCUGGCGGCGUGCUUAACACAUGCAAGUCGAACGAUGACGACCGAGCUUGCUCGGUCUGAUUAGUGGCGAACGGGUGAGUAACACGUGAGCAACCUGCCCUUCACUCUGGGAUAACCUCGGGAAAUCGGGGCUAAUACCGGAUAUGAGCUCCUGUCGCAUGGCGGGUGUUGGAAAGUUUUUCGGUGAAGGAUGGGCUCGCGGCCUAUCAGUUUGUUGGUGAGGUAGUGGCUCACCAAGGCGAUGACGGGUAGCCGGCCUGAGAGGGCGACCGGCCACACGGGGACUGAGACACGGCCCAGACUCCUACGGGAGGCAGCAGUGGGGAAUAUUGCACAAUGGGCGAAAGCCUGAUGCAGCGACGCCGCGUGAGGGAUGACGGCCUUCGGGUUGUAAACCUCUUUCAGCAGGGAAGAAGCGAAAGUGACGGUACCUGCAGAAGAAGCGCCGGCUAACUACGU
rnacentral:rRNA from 1 species